rnacentral:rRNA from 1 species
GGGUCCGGACACACUGAGGAUUGACAGGCAAUAUUAAUACGUUUUGCUUCGGUAAACGCGUAUUAUGUUAAAUAUGCUAGUCCUUUCAUGAUUAUGUGAUAGGUGGUGCAUGGCCGUUCUUAGUUCGUGGAGUGAUCUGUCUGCUUAAUUGCGUUUCACUAAGGGCCUAUAAAUUUACGUGUGUUGCAUCGCACUUUGACCCCUUUCUUUAAUUAGAGAGCGCGUGUCUUAGUUUUCGCUUCGCUCAUACAAUUAGGUCCUGAAAGCAACGAACGUGACCGCAACCUCUUGUUGCCUUUAUACCAAACAUGUUUUGCGUCAAUUUUUACGAAUUGCGCGCAUUUCAUGAAAAAAGGCUUUUUAAACUAGAGGGACCGCUGUUACUUUCUUAAACCAGAGGAAGGUUGCGGCAAUAACAGGUCUGUGAUGCCCUUAGAUGUUCCGGGCUGCACACGUGCUACAAUGAUUAUUGCAGUGAGCAUCUCAUUUUUACACACCGCAUGCGCGAGUCCAUUUAUUCACCUUCGGGUGUUUUAAAUGUGUAUCUCUGCGCGCGGUAAAGCCUGCUUCGACAGUAAGUGGGU